rnacentral:lncRNA from 1 species
UCCCAGGUGAAGCCCUUGGGGAAAAGCCCCCAGGUGAAACCUGCCUCCACCAUGGGCAUGGGGCCCUUGGGGAAAGGCGCCGGCCCAGUGCCACCUGGGAAGGUGGGGCCUGCAACCCCCUCGGCCCAGGUGGGGAAGUGGGAGGAGGACUCAGAGAGCAGUAGUGAGGAGUCAUCAGACAGCAGUGAUGGAGAGGUGCCCACAGCUGUGGCCCCGGCUCAGGAAAAGUCCUUGGGGAACAUCCUCCAGGCCAAACCUGCCUCCAGUCCUGCCAAGGGGCCCCCUCAGAAGGCAGGGCCUGUAGCCGUCCAGGUCAAGGCUGAAAAGCCCAUGGACAACUCGGAGAGCAGCGAGGAGUCGUCGGACAGUGCGGACAGUGAGGAGGCACCAGCAGUCAUGACUGCAGCUCAGGUGAGGCCUGGGGAAGGAGGCU